CCCCAGACUCCUACGGGAGGCAGCAGUGAGGAAUAUUGGUCAAUGGUCGGGAGACUGAACCAGCCAAGCCGCGUGAGGGAGGAAGGUACAGAGUAUCGUAAACCUCUUUUGUCAGGGAACAAAGGCGGGGACGUGUCCCCGGAUGAGUGUACCUGAAGAAAAAGCAUCGGCUAACUCCGUGCCAGCAGCCGCGGUAAUACGGAGGAUGCGAGCGUUAUCCGGAUUUAUUGGGUUUAAAGGGUGCGCAGGCGGAAUGUCAAGUCAGCGGUAAAAUUUCGGGGCUCAACCCCGUCGUGCCGUUGAAACUGGCGUUCUUGAGUGAGCGAGAAGUAUGCGGAAUGCGUGGUGUAGCGGUGAAAUGCAUAGAUAUCACGCAGAACUCCGAUUGCGAAGGCAGCGUGCCGUGCCGCCACUGACGCUGAGGCACGAAAGCGCGGGGAUCGAACAGGAUUAGAUACCCCGGUAA
rnacentral:rRNA from 1 species